rnacentral:rRNA from 1 species
AGCUCCAAUGGCGUAUAUUAAAGUUGUUGCAGUUAAAAAGCUCGUAGUUGGAUUUCUGGCAGGAGCGACCGGUCGGCCCAUUGUGGUGUGUACUAGUGUUGCAUCUGGCCAUAUUUGUGGAGAGCGUGUGUGGCAUUAAUUUGUCGUGCUCGGGACCCGCAUCGUUUACUGUGAGAAAAUUAGAGUGUUCAAAGCAGGCUUAUGCCUUGGAUAUGUUAGCAUGGAAUAAUAAGAUAAGACUUUGGCGGUCUAUUUUGUUGGUUUGCACGCCAUUGUAAUGAUUGAUAGGGACAGUUGGGGGUAUUCAUAUUUAAUUGUCAGAGGUGAAAUUCUUGGAUUUAUGAAAGAUGAACUACUGCGAAAGCAUUUACCAAGGAUGUUUUCAUUA